rfam:Ictidomys tridecemlineatus contig023272, whole genome shotgun sequence.
UGGGGUACAGCUCAGUGGUAGAAUGCUUGUCUAGCAUAUUCAAGGACCUGGGUUCCAUCCCCAGUACCUCAA